UACAGAGACUGCAAGCGUUAUUCGGAUUCACUGGGCGUAAAGGGUGCGCAGGCGGCCAAGUGUGUUAGGCGUGAAAGCCCGGGGCUUAACCCCGGAAUUGCACCUAAAACUACAUGGCCAGAGCAUUGGAGAGGGUAGCGGAAUUCACGGUGUAGCAGUGAAAUGCGUAGAUAUCGUGAGGAACACCGGUGGCGAAGGCGGCAUCCUGGGACCGGCAUUG
rnacentral:rRNA from 1 species